rnacentral:rRNA from 1 species
CCUACGGGCGGCAGCAGUGGGGAAUAUUGGGCAAUGGACGCAAGCCUGACCCAGCAACGCCGCGUGCAGGAAGAAGGCCCUCUGGUUGGAAACUUCUUUUGGUAGGGACGAAAACAGUGACGGUACUUGACGAAUGAGCCACGGUUAAGCACGGGCAAGAAGCCGCGGUAAUCCGUGGGUGGCAAGCUUUAGCCGGAUUCAAUGGUUGUAAAGGGCGUGUAGGGGGGAGUGAAAGUCAGCGGGAAAAAUUCGGUGUCCAACCCCGUCGUGCCGUUGAAACUGAUCUUCUUGAGUGUGCGAGAGGUAGGCGGAAUGCGUGGUGUAGCGGUGAAAUGCAUAGAGAUCACGCAGAACUCCGAUUGCGAAGGCAGCAUACCG